GAACCAGAGGACCGAUAGCGCACAAGUAGAGUGAUCGAAAGAUGAAAAGCACUUUGGAAAGAGAGUCAAAAAGUACGUGAAAUUGUUGAANGGGAAGCGCUUGCAACCAGAUCUGUCCGCCGGCGAUCAACCUUCGUUCUCGGGGGUGCACUCGUCGGCGAUCAGGCCAGCAUCGGUUCGGGCGGCCGGACAAAGGCCCUGGGAAUGUAGCUCUUCUCGAGGAGUCUUAUAGCCCUCGGCGCAAUGCGGCCAGCUCGGACCGAGGACCGCGCUUCGGCUAGGAUGCUGGCGUAAUGGUUGUAAGCGACCCGUCUUGAAACACGGACCAAGGAGUCUAACAUCUAUGCAAGUGUUUGGGUGUCAAACCCCUACGCGUAAUGAAAGUGAACGGAGGUGAGAACCCCUAAGGGCGCAUCAUCGACCGAUCCAAAUGUCUUCGGAUGGAUUUGAGUACGAGCAUAGCUGUUGNGACCCGAAAGAUGGUGAACUAUGCCUGAAUAGGGUGAAGCCAGAGGAAACUCUGGGGG
rnacentral:rRNA from 1 species